rnacentral:rRNA from 1 species
GACGUAGGGCGCGAGCGUUGUCCGGAUUUAUUGGGCGUAAAGAGCGUGUAGGCGGCCAGACAAGUCUGCUGUGAAAACUCGAGGCUCAACCUCGAGCUGUCGGUGGAAACUGUCUGGCUAGAGUCCGGAAGAGGAGAGUGGAAUUCCUGGUGUAGCGGUGAAAUGCGCAGAUAUCAGGAAGAACACCCGUGGCUAAGGCGGCUCUCUAGUACGGUACUGACGCUGAGACGCGAAAGCGUGGGGAGCGAACAGG